rnacentral:tRNA from 1 species
GUGAAAGUCACGGACUUCAAAACCGACGAUGGUGCCCAGAGACAUAGGUUCAA